CUCAGACAGAUGCUGCAGGUCAGCUCAUCCUCCAGACUCAUGAGAGAAAACUGACUCUCGUCCACUUCGGCCAUGAUGAAACGUCAGGUGAGGCUACGAGGGAGAAACGAAACUCAACUUCACAAGUACCAAAACCAAUGAUGUUCCGGCUCCCGGCUGCCUCUCCCUGAAAUAUUAGUGAAUGCACAAUUGAGCCUGCUCAGUUGCUUCAUGAACCAACUCGGUUUUACGUGUACUUUGUUUUAAUAUUACAGUAAAAUCUAUAUUGCAUUGGACUCUAUUUGACUCAAGUGUUUUAUUGAAGAAGAAUUAAACAGUGUGUGAGAGGACCUGGACACAUUUGGCCUAGCUGAAGGUUUUUUCUCCCACAUUAUACAGUUUAGAUUAUUUCUCCUUUAAUUCUGAGAAAUAAAGUUUUGGCGCGUUCAACUCCUGUUUGGGCUUCAUUCCAUUUCAAAUAGCUGCUGGUCUGCCGGUCAGAGUCCAAAAGCCAAUAUCUCUGUUACGUAAGGGCGUUUUAUAGCCUGUGAUUGUAAAAUGUGAAGUUGCUCAUUUAAUUUUAUAUUUCCAAGAAUAUGUGGUUGGGGAUAUUUAAUAUGAAAUCACCUUUCUUAAGAAAGGGUUACAUCUCUCAUUGAAUCCCUGCACUUGUCACGUCAUAUAUAUCAUCAAACUGGACUUUUUAUUGUGCAUUGCAUUCAACCUCCACUGUUACAUAAUUUAAUUAUUUAUGCACAUGUCACAUUUAAAGGCGCUAUCGAUAACAUCCAGCCACUAGAUGACGCACUCCCCCUCCCCCCUUCCAUUCCAUUCCAGUGGUUACCAGUUCUUGCACAACCUGCUGUUAUGGUCAGCCACCCUGCCUUUUGUCGCUGCAGUUUCUCUUUCCCUGUGUGUCUUGUCUGUCCUCCGUUUGUCUGUGUGUAUGUGCUCCGGCUUCCCUGGCUCUCACCUGCUGCCGAUCACCGGCGCACCUGUCAUCAAUUAUCAUCAGUCUCUACAGCUUAAAGACUGGGCUCUUCCUCAUCUCCAGUGCCAGAUCGUCUCUCUGUAUACCUACAUCCCUCUCGCCGGUGAUCAGCCACGUCACCUCACGGAUUUCUGCUAACCUGUUCACCCGUCUUGCUCCUGCCCUGCCAGCUAACCAACUGUCUCCCAGUUCAGUCAGUUUACCAGCAGUCUCCCAGCUGGCCAGCGAACCAACGGUGUCCUCAACCCCACCGGUGAAAUCCCCAGGCCACUUGGAGCCAGCUCACCUCGCUCUACGGAUCCGUGACCGGCCUCACAUCACCACCCGCCGUUCUUGGUUCAGAGCAGUCCAUUCCGGACUUGAUUCACCGCUUCACUAAGAGCCGCAGUGGACGGCUCUGUUUUCCCCCUCCCUCAAGAAAAGACUAUAUUCUUGCACUUACCGUGGGUUGAAUAAAGAUUGACUUUUCUAUUUCACUCCUUGUGUCCUGCAUUUGUGGGUUCUGACUCGUACAUUACGACACCUGCAUAUUUCAUGGUCGAGUGGAGUGAGACUCAGACAGUCAUGUCAAGUGAUGAAUCUUUUGUGAUAGAGUUAUGAAUUCUUUUUGCAACAUGUAGCUAUACAUUAGCUAUAGAUUUGGGUUACUUUGUGCGGUGGUGUUUCAUGUAUCUA